rnacentral:rRNA from 1 species
GUCGACGAUUACUCCUACGGGAGGCAGCAGUGGGGAAUAUUGGACAAUGGGCGAAAGCCUGAUCCAGCCAUGGCGCGUGUGUGAAGAAGGUCUUCGGAUUGUAAAGCACUUUAAGUUGGGAGGAAGGGUUGUAGAUUAAUACUCUGCAAUUUUGACGUUACCGACAGAAUAAGCACCGGCUAACUCUGUGCCAGCAGCCGCGGUAAUAAUCUCUAGA